AGAACAUGAAAAAUGCCUACUUAUAACUAUUUUAAUAUCAAAUAGGUACAUAAACAGUCUUAACACAGGUAAAUUAGUUUCAUUGUGAUAUUUUCUUUACCCUUCAAACUUUAUCCAUUUAAUCUAGUAUACGAUUUUUUACACGACUAAACAGAAAAUUGUAAACACAACAUGGACUACGGAUAAAAUUCUCAUUAUUACAUUGGUCCAGUACAAACUGCAAAAUGACUAGAUCAUACUCAUUUUCGGUGUGCCCCAAGUCCUCAAUCAAUCUGCCUUUUUAU
rnacentral:lncRNA from 1 species